CUGACGUGGAAAGGUAACACACGGCCAGCGAAAGCUCUUUUUUUAAGAGCCCAGGUGGUCGUGUGGUCUAGCGGGACGGCUGCAGUGCAGGCGAUUUGGUGUCACGAUAUCACAGUAGCAUGGGUUCGAAUCCCGGCGAGGGAAGAACCAAAAAUUUGCGAAAGCAAAUUUACAGAUCUAACAUUGUUGGGUUGAUGUUUAGACG
rnacentral:lncRNA from 1 species